rnacentral:misc_RNA from 1 species
CCGAGCGAGGGCCCCUGGCCCGACCUCCAACCCUUUGUUAUCAAAACCACUGUUGCCUCGGGGGCGACCCGGGCCCGUCGGCCCAGGGCCCCCGACGGACAAUUUCAAAACACUGCAUCUUUGCGUCGGGAUUUAAAGUUUAAUUGAUUA